ensembl:lncRNA
CUCUUCAGGAGGUGUUCUUCUAGGAAAGCGGUGAGGCUCAGAGAUGUUCUUUUUUAUUUGCCUAUGUUAGCAUAAAGUGGGGCUGGUUCUAAGUAACACAUGAAUAUAGAGUAAGGCCUGAGACAGUCUUAGCUCUGUCAGGGAUUUAGCUGUAUUAACUUCAUUUUUUAUCAUUUUGGGCAGUAGUUCUGGCUCAUAAACCUAAAGCUGAAACUGCAUACUGCUGCCAGCCUGUAUAGACCUCUUUGGCAAAUGUGGAUCAUUCAGUAAGUUAGCAUUACUACUUUUCCUUUUCAUAUUAGAAAUACCAUGGAGACCUAUGGAAUUUCUUUAUUAUUCUGGAAUAUUUGGCUUUGGAUUUAUUUUUUCAAGUAUGCGCUUAUGUUGAGUUUCUUUCACUGAAUUUUUUUUUUCUUUGUUUCUUUUUUGCCUGCAUAACGUUGGAAGCGAUGUUCCAAGCUAGAAUGCUACCUGAUUCUGUGUCUUAUUAGGACUAGCAAACCUGUAAACCGCUGUUAAGGCUUCAGUUUAACUGGGGGGAAGGGAGGUUGCCUGUAAAAUAAGGAGUGUGCUUAGAUCUGUGAGAUAGGCAGAUGAAGUGGUGGGAAAAAGAGUGUGCGGCUGUCACUAAAGAUAGUAUUAUCCUCCUCAAAAAAGGAGAUGGUGAUCCAUGGGGUUACGUCCAACAGCAUGAGAGUAUCCUCAUUUCUUGCAAAAUAGCUCACGAGAGGAAAUGAACAUUAUGUGUCUCUUACCAUGCUUUGGAGUCUGCUUUCUGCCGAGGUAUAUUUUAGCAAGAACAGGGUAGAAUGUAAUUUCUUGCAGCCUGUACUGCAGUGGAUCAUCUUCAAAAUGACCUGAGAUCUAUUACUUCUGAAGAAGAGGAAUACAUAUUUCUGGAGCACAACAGUCAACUGAAUGUUAGUUCCAUUAAUUGCUGUGAGCAGAUACAGUUUGCUCUGCGAAACUGACAAGAAUCAAAUUUAUUCUGACUGCUAGACCACGUAGUGUGCAACACAGCUAAUAGGUGAUCCUGUCUUGGAGCUGAAGACUUGGGAUGGGCUCAGUUGUGACCCUGUAAGCUGGUGAGGAGCUGUGACCAGUAGUAAUACACUGGAAGGAUAUGAUCUGUGGU